UGGAGGCAGCAGUGGGGAAUUUUGCGCAAUGGGGGAAACCCUGACGCAGCAACGCCGCGUGAGUGAUGAAGGCCUUCGGGUCGUAAAGCUCUGUCAAGUGGGAAGAACCUGUCACGUGAUAAUACCACGGGGCACUGACGGUACCACUGAAGGAAGCACCGGCUAACUCCGUGCCAGCAGCCGCGGUAAUACGGGGGGUGCCAGCGUUAUUCGGAAUCAUUGGGCGUAAAGGGCGCGUAGGCGGUCUCUUAAGUCAGAUGUGAAAGCCCUCGGCUUAACCGGGGAAGUGCAUUUGAUACUAAGUGACUUGAGUAUGGGAGAGGGAAGCGGAAUUCCUGGUGUAGCGGUGAAAUGCGUAGAUAUCAGGAGGAACACCGGUGGCGAAGGCGGCUUCCUGGACCAAUACUGACGCUGAGGCGCGAAGGCGUGGGGAGCAAACAGGAUUAGAUACCCCAGUAG
rnacentral:rRNA from 1 species